AAUCAACGCUGGCGGCGUGCCUAACACAUGCAAGUCGAACGCGAAAGUCCCGAAAGGGAUUAGUAGAGUGGCAAACGGGUGAGUAACACGUGGGUGACCUGCCUUCGAGCGGGGGAUAACGUCCCGAAAGGGACGCUAAUACCGCAUGACAUCCUGCCUUUGAAGAGGUGGAGAUCAAAGCUGGGGAUCGCAAGACCUAGCACUCGAAGAGGGGCCCGCGCCUGAUUAGCUAGNGGUGGGGUAACGGCUCACCAAGGCAACGAUCAGUAUCCGGCCUGAGAGGGCGGACGGACACACUGGGACUGAGACACGGCCCAGACUCCUACGGGAGGCAGCAGUGGGGAAUUUUCGCAAUGGGGGAAACCCUGACGAAGCAACGCCGCGUGGAGGAUGGAGGCCUUC
rnacentral:rRNA from 1 species